rnacentral:rRNA from 1 species
GCCCCGGUAAACGGCGGCCGUAACUAUAACGGUCCUAAGGUAGCGAAAUUCCUUGUCGGGUAAGUUCCGACCUGCACGAAUGGCGUAAUGAUGGCCAGGCUGUCUCCACCCGAGACUCAGUGAAAUUGAACUCGCUGUGAAGAUGCAGUGUACCCGCGGCAAGACGGAAAGACCCCGUGAACCUUUACUAUAGCUUGACACUGAACAUUGAGCCUUGAUGUGUAGGAUAGGUGGGAGGCUUUGAAGUGUGGACGCCAGUCUGCAUGGAGCCGACCUUGAAAUACCACCCUUUAAUGUUUGAUGUUCUAACGUUGACCCGUAAUCCGGGUUGCGGACAGUGUCUGGUGGGUAGUUUGACUGGGGCGGUCUCCUCCUAAAGAGUAACGGAGGAGCACGAAGGUUGGCUAAUCCUGGUCGGACAUCAGGAGGUUAGUGCAAUGGCAUAAGCCAGCUUGACUGCGAGCGUGACGGCGCGAGCAGGUGCGAAAGCAGGUCAUAGUGAUCCGGUGGUUCUGAAUGGAAGGGCCAUCGCUCAACGGAUAAAAGGUACUCCGGGGAUAACAGGCUGAUACCGCCCAAGAGUUCAUAUCGACGGCGGUGUUUGGCACCUCGAUGUCGGCUCAUCACAUCCUGGGGCUGAAGUAGGUCCCAAGGGUAUGGCUGUUCGCCAUUUAAAGUGGUACGCGAGCUGGGUUUAGAACGUCGUGAGACAGUUCGGUCCCUAUCUGCCGUGGGCGCUGGAGAACUGAGGGGGGCUGCUCCUAGUACGAGAGGACCGGAGUGGACGCAUCACUGGUGUUCGGGUUGUCAUGCCAAUGGCACUGCCCGGUAGCUAAAUGCGGAAGAGAUAAGUGCUGAAAGCAUCUAAGCACGAAACUUGCCCCGAGAUGAGUUCUCCCUGACUCCUUGAGAGUCCUGAAGGAACGUUGAAGACGACGACGUUGAUAGGCCGGGUGUGUAAGCGCAGCGAUGCGUUGAGCUAACCGGUACUAAUGAACCGUGAGG